rnacentral:rRNA from 1 species
GACGAACGCUGGCGGCGUGCUUAACACAUGCAAGUCGAACGAUGAUCUCCCGCUUGCGGGGGUUAUUAGUGGCGAACGGGUGAGUAAUACGUGAGUAACCUGCCCUUGACUCUGGGAUAAGCCUGGGAAACCGGGUCUAUACUUUAAUACUCCUUCCUGCCUACUGGUGGGGGUUGGAAAGGUUUUUACUGGUUUUGGUUGGGCUACCGGCUUACAAGCUUGUUGGUGGAGUAAUGGCUAACCAAGCCGAGGACGGGUAGCCGGCUUGAGAGGGUGACCGGCCACACUGGGACUGAGACACGGCCCAGACUCCUACGGGAGGCAGCAGUGGGGAAUAUUGCACAAGGGGCGGAAGCCUGAUGCAGCGACGCCGCGUGAGGGAAGACGGCCUUCGGGUUGUAAACCUCUUUCAGCAGGGAAGAAGCCACAAGUGACGGUACCUGCAGAAGAAGCGCCGGCUAACUACCUG